rnacentral:rRNA from 1 species
CGCCUCAUGAUUUAAUAUAAGAGGUCCAGCCUGCCCAGUGACUAUGUUCAACGGCCGCGGUAUCCUAACCGUGCGAAGGUAGCGUAAUCACUUGUUCUUUAAAUGAGGACUAGUAUGAAUGGCACCACGAAGGUUACAUCUGUCUCCCUUUUAAUAAUCAGUGAAACUAAUCUCCCCGUGAAGAAGCGGGGAUAAACAUAUAAGACGAGAAGACCCUAUGGAGCUUUAAACUUAAUAACAUUUCCUUAAAACACUCACUCUUCAGAGUACUCACAUUUACUUCGGCUUUCUGAUUAUUAGUUUUAGGUUGGGGUGACCGCGGAGCAAAAAAUAACCUCCACAUUGAAUGGGGAACUCCCCUGAGACACGAGCUACACUCUACACACCAAUAAAUUGACAUCAAUUGACCCAAUAUAUUGAUCAACGAACCAAGUUACCCUAGGGAUAACAGCGCAAUCCGCUUCAAGAGCUCCUAUCGACAGGCGGGUUUACGACCUCGAUGUUGGAUCAGGGUAUCCUAGUGGUGCAGCCGCUACUAAAGGUUCGUUUGUUCAACGAUUAAAACCCU